UCCGACAUUACGAAGGCUCUUCGGGUGUCAUGCGUGUCUUAGGCCGAAGAAGGUUAUCUCACGGGCCGUAUAGAAUAACUGCGGGCGCUUUCUCAUCUGCGAAGAUUCUUGACCAGUCCCCCAGAGUUGGUAUGUGCCAGUAUUUCCCAAGGAUCUGCAUCUACAAUAACACCGAGGAAAGCUCUCCAAAGGUGUUGUCCUGUUGCAUAACAUUGCCUCAUCACACACUGAAAACAAUGGCAAAACUGACCUCCUUAAUAUUUCAAGUGAUGCCCCCACCCUUGUCCGAACUGCACCUCCUUCCAACUCUUUCCCGUCCAAAAUAAUAAAAAAAAACCCAGAGGGACAAUAAUUUGGGAGUGUUCUGGAGGCAUCUAACGCUGCAAUUGAGUAAGUGUUUCACCAGCAGACAGAUUUUUUUUCUUUUCUUUUUUGCAGUAAUAAGUUGCAGGAGAUGUCGCAAGUGCAUAGACUUCAUUGGGGAAUAUGUAAAUAGUGUGGCAGUUAGUUUUAUAGCCAAGCUUUUUCUGGGCAAUGCUCAAUACUUAUCAGCACCCCCUCGUACAUAUGUAGUUUUGUUUUGCUUCCUUGUUUGUCAAGUGAAGAGUGUGUACAACAAUUGCUAGUUUUGCUCCACACCCCUUCUUUACUGGAUGUUAAACAAUUUAGAUUUUUCUGAUGACAUCAAUACGACAAAUAAACCGAAAAAAUAAACUACAGAAACCAUUUAUUUCAAAACAUUAAACAGAAAAAAAAAAUUGUGCAAGCAUUAAUUCACAGUAAUGCUCUUGCAGGCAGUCAGUUUGCACUGCAAUUUGGUACCAAAGAAUAGUUGACCUAUGAACAAUCACUUUAUUUAAAAUUAGUACCACUCCGUGCUUCAUGAACACAGAUUACUCGUACACAUGCGGUUCUCAUUAGGUAUGCAGAUAUACUAGUUUAUGUGCAAGGAUGAGCAGAGAUUGUCCCAGUGGUUUGGAGCAGCACAAGUGGAGUGACUGAGCAAGUUUCUCCAGCGUAGGAACAAUGCUUAGGUUUAUUUAUAGCUGAACAGUUUGGAGGCCUUUUAGGUUAAAAUAAAAAUGCAUUUGUUAACUUCAUGUUCACUUGGAAGGGAAAAUUGUUGGCAAAUAGACAACCCGGAGUCAUCAAAAAGAAAGAGAAACGGAGACAAGCAAAUUGAGUACAAAGGAUUCUACUUCAAUCUCAAUAAUUGACCAGAUGCAGCCAUUUUCUUUGUACUCUUUCUCUUAGGUACUCCUUUAUUUUAUCAGCUACUUUUGCUCUAAGAAUGCCAAAGUUGCUACGGUUGUAGGAGCAUUUGCUGAAAUUAACUGUAUGUUUCCUAGCUGUGUGUGAAGUUGCAGGAGAGUAGCACUUGCAUGGAUGCAAGAGAAAGCUGGCAGAACAUAGUGUCAUGGCUAUGAGCAAAUGCUCCAGUACACUUUGCAGUGCUCCUUCAUGCAUAGCAAGCUCCUCAAGACACAAAGGUUGUACUUGAUUUAUGCAAUAAAUGAAAGUUCAAACCAGAAUUCAAUUAUGUGCUGUGCUACAAUAAUACUCCAGCAUUGUUAAAGUAUGCUCAAGUUGUUUACAUUCUUGAAGCUACCUUCAAAUGUGGCAGUCUGCUCAAACACUGUUACAAUUUGUUGUCACCUUACUUCAGCCAAACAAUAAUAUUAUACACUUGCAAAAUUUGUGUUUCUUGUAAGAACAGUCCAAGACCAAUGCAACAUGUACAAAGAUUUCUUUAUUCACCAAGAAGACCUUGUUGCUCGUAGCUCAGGGCCAUCACAAGCAUUUGAUGCAGCAGUAGGUCAGUCUCACGCAAUGUGGAAAAAGCUCAAUAUAAUGUGUAUCUAUUUCCUCACAGUAGCCCCAACCUUCCACCCUUU